rnacentral:rRNA from 1 species
AACGAACGCUGGCGGCAUGCCUAACACAUGCAAGUCGAACGAGACCUUCGGGUCUAGUGGCGCACGGGUGCGUAACGCGUGGGAACCUGCCCUUAGGUUCGGAAUAACUCCCCGAAAGGGGUGCUAAUACCGGAUAAUGUCUUCGGACCAAAGAUUUAUCGCCUUUGGAUGGGCCCGCGUUGGAUUAGCUAGUUGGUAGGGUAAAAGCCUACCAAGGCGACGAUCCAUAGCUGGUCGGAGAGGAUGAUCAGCCACACUGGGACGGGGACCCGGCCCAAACUCCUCGGGAGGGCGGCAGUGGGGAUUAUGGGACACUGGGCGAAGGCUGAUCCAGCAAUGCCGCGUGAGUGAUGAAGGCCUUAGGGUUGUAAAGCUCUUUUACCCGGGAUGAUAAUGACAGUACCGGGAGAAUAAGCUCCGGCUAACUCCGUG